rnacentral:rRNA from 1 species
UACGAAGGGGGCUAGCGUUGCUCGGAAUCACUGGGCGUAAAGCGCACGUAGGCGGAUUGUUAAGUCAGGGGUGAAAUCCUGGAGCUCAACUCCAGAACUGCCUUUGAUACUGAGGAUCUUGAGUCCGGGAGAGGUGAGUGGAACUGCGAGUGUAGAGGUGAAAUUCGUAGAUAUUCGCAAGAACACCAGUGGCGAAGGCGGCUCACUGGCCCGGUACUGACGCUGAGGCACGAAAGCGUGGGGAGCAAACAGGG